CGUUCCACUGUUGCAGAGUUUUUCAGAGUUGGUCGGGGCUGUGUACGAUAUUUUGUGUAACUGGAAAUUUAACGCAAAGUUAUAGGUUAUCGUAUCGGCUUGUUCUCCUUUGUAUAAAUUGCCCUGCGAGCAUGGAUGGACGAUGCAUCUGGAGAAAUGAACUGUGACGAAUAACAACGAGCAGCAAGAGGAUUAACAAGAGGAAGAAGGAAAAGAGCGUAUAAUCGUUGAUAAUGAGAAAAUGUAUUAUCUGGUUGGUUGCGUACGAGUGUGGGAGAAAAAGUGUGAAACGAGGGAAAUACAGGGAGAAGUAUCUUGUAAAUGUGUAAAUAAGAAGCGCAAA